rnacentral:rRNA from 1 species
AUUGAACGCUGGCGACAUGCCUUACACAUGCAAGUCGAACGGCAGCACGGGUGCUUGCCCCUGGUGGCGAGUGGCGAACGGGUGAGUAAUACAUCGGAACAUGUCCUGUAGUGGGGGAUAGCCCGGCGAAAGCCGGAUUAAUACCGCACACGAUCUACGGAUGAAAGCGGGGGACCUUCGGGCCUCGCGCUAUAGGGUUGGCCGAUGGCUGAUUAGCUAGUUGGUGGGGUAAAGGCCUACCAAGGCGACGAUCAGUAGCUGGUCUGAGAGGACGACCAGUCACACUGGGACUGAGACACGGCCCAGACUCCUACGGGAGGCAGCAGUGGGGAAUUUUGGACAAUGGGCGAAAGCCUGAUCCAGCAAUGCCGCGUGUGUGAAGAAGGCCUUCGGGUUGUAAAGCACUUUUGUCCGGAAAGAAAUCCUUGGCCCUAAUACGGUCGGGGGAUGACGGUACCAGAAGAAUAAGCACCGGCUAACUACGUG